AUAUUAGCAAAAAUAACUUAGAAAUUGAGUCAAAUGGGGUUUUUAUUGUUUAAAUUAAAAAUUCAAAAUUUUGUGUUGUAAAUUUAAGUUUAGCUAUCAUACUGUUAUAAAUCCUUAAGUUGAGAUAUCAUCUGUAUUUUACUUUAAUUUAAGUUUUGAGUUUUAACAACGUUCUUUAAAAGAAAAGUCAUAAGUGGAAAACAAAUAUUUCUGAUGUUUGCUUCACUUGAAAUUCAACUCUUUCUGCUUCUUUUUAUCUUUUAUAUACAAAUGAUCAUGUCCAUGACUUUCUUGCCUUUAAUUUCUACAAUAAAGAAACUCUAUAAGCCUUGGAUGGACCAAGUCUUCAUUGCUUGUUGAAAUAUUUAAUAUAGGAUUGGUUGUUGAAUCUGUUCAACAACCACAAAGUUUCCAUCUCAGCAACUGCAUAGAAAACUUUGGCAUUGAGUGUAUCUUUCAAAAUCAAAGUAGAACCUAAAA
rnacentral:misc_RNA from 1 species